rnacentral:rRNA from 1 species
GUGAGGAAUAUUGCGCAAUGGAGGCAACUCUGACGCAGCCAUGCCGCGUGCAGGAAGAAGGCGCUACGCGUUGUAAACUGCUUUUAACCGGGAAGAAACCCCAGGACGUGUCCUGGGUUGACGGUACCGGAGGAAUAAGCACCGGCUAACUUCGUGCCAGCAGCCGCGGUAAUACGAAGGGUGCAAGCGUUAUCCGGAUUCAUUGGGUUUAAAGGGUGCGUAGGCGGAGCGUUAAGUCAGUGGUGAAAUCCUGCAGCUUAACUGUAGACUUGCCAGUGAGACUGGCGCUCUUGAGUGCGCUUGAAGUGGGCGGAAUGUGCCGUGUAGCGGUGAAAUGCUUAGAUAUGGCAAAGAACACCAAUUGCGAAGGCAGCUCACUAAGGCGAUACUGACGCUGAGGCACGACAGCGUGGGGAUCGAACAGGAUUAGAUACCCCGGUAGUCC